AUGCUCACUUUGGCAGCACACUUACUAAAAUUGGAACAAUACAAAGAUUAGCAUGGCCCCUGCACAAGGGUGACACACAAACUGGUGAGGUAUUCCAUAUUUUU
ensembl:snRNA U6 U6 spliceosomal RNA